AGCAGUGGGGAAUAUUGCACAAUGGGCGCAAGCCUGAUGCAGCCAUGCCGCGUGUAUGUAAGUAAGGCCUUCGGGUUGUAAAGUACUUUCAGCAGUGAGGAAGGUGGAUAUGUUAAUAGCAUAUUCAUUUGACGUUAGCUGCAGAAGAAGCACCGGCUAACUCCGUGCCAGCAGCCGCGGUAAUACGGAGGGUGCGAGCGUUAAUCGGAAUUACUGGGCGUAAAGCGCAUGCAGGUGGUUUGUUAAGUCAGAUGUGAAAGCCCCGGGGCUCAACCUCGGAAUUGCAUUUGAAACUGGCAAACUAGAGUACUGUAGAGGGGGUAGAAUUUCAGGUGUAGCGGUGAAAUGCGUAGAGAUCUGAAGGAAUACCGGUGGCGAAGGCGGCCCCCUGGACAGAUACUGACACUCAGAUGCGAAAGCGUGGGGAGCAAACAGGAUUAGAUACCCUGGUAG
rnacentral:rRNA from 1 species